UACGUAGGGGGGCAAGCGUUGUCCGGAUUUAUUGGGCGUAAAGAGCGUGUAGGCGGCCAUACAGGUCAGCUGUGAAAACUCGAGGCUCAACCUCGAGACGUCGGUUGAAACCGUAUGGCUAGAGUCCGGAAGAGGAGAGUGGAAUUCCCGGUGUAGCGGUGAAAUGCGCAGAUAUCGGGAAGAACACCCGUGGCGAAGGCGGCUCUCUGGGACGGUACUGACGCUGAGACGCGAAAGCGUGGGGGAGCGAACAGG
rnacentral:rRNA from 1 species